ensembl:lncRNA
GUGUGUCCACAGUUUUGACUUGGAGUGUAUAUGUCUGACUACUCUUUCUGGACUUUAAUUUUGCGUUUAAUACCAUCAUUCCACAGACACUAGCCACUUUUAUUGUUGGGACUCAGACAACUGGUGCUGGAAUUCUUGACAGACAAGCGUGAGUCUGUGAAAAUUUCCAGUGUCUUGUCCUCCAUCAUCAUCCUCAAUAUUAGCUCACUGCAUGGAUGUGUAUUGAGCACACCAUACACACCACUCAAAAAAUAUUCACAAAUGUUUAGAUUGAGAUUUUCAUAAAUAUAUUUAUGUAUUAUUCAAAUUUCAACCUCUUGAAUUAGUGAAUACAACUGCUCAGUUCAUCAGUACAUCAGCCAGAGACUUAGUCAGUACCUUUGUGUUGAAUUAAAUAACUUAAUGAUUAGAUAACCCAUUAAACAUUCAUAUAUUUCAUGAAUUAUGUCAUAAUUAUAAGAUAAUGACCACAUUAAAAAUGACCAUAAUAUGUUAUGCUAAAUUUAUGGAAAAAAGACCAUUAUAAACAAUAUAAUUAUAUUUCUUAAAUUGUAAUUGUUUGAUGAAGAUUUCAUGACAGAACUGUACCAUUCAAGUUUAUAAAAACCAAGUAGCCACAACCGCUUUAUUUCCCCAUAAAUGUCACAGUUUGCACAGUUACAAAUCCUUUAUUGACAUAAAUCACCAAGAAUUUUUAUUACCUAAAUUAAUAUAUGUUAAUAUGUAAUGGUAUACACUGUAGCAGUAUUUUUCUAAUCAGAAAAACUCUUCUAAGUAAAGGAGUAAAUAAAACAUCAACAAGCACACACACACACACACACUCACACAAUGUACUGUUUGUGUUUAUGUGUUUAAUAUUCUUGUGUAUGUGAUCAAAACAUUUUUGUUUUGUUUUGAUCACAUUAGCUAAUAUGAUCAAAAUAAUAUUACUGUCAGCAGAGAAUCCAUGAGGUGGGAGCACAACUUGCCAGUAGACCUGUUCAUGUCUGUGACUGGUUACAUGCUGCCAACACCAGAUCAUACAUGUGGAAGCACUAGCUAGAUUUGGAAACCUCAGGUUUAGUUUCAGAACAGAACGGAUCAUACACUAUGCAGGUCUGCCUUUUUCUGGUCUCUUUGAUAAGGAAGUUAAACACAGCCUAAACAACUGCAACACUGGAACUUAAAUAACUGCAACAAACUGACAAGUUGUGCUGCCUACACAAGGAUCCAGGUUUCACUACUGCAGUCAUUAUUGCAUCAAGACUGAAGAGCUCAACUGUGCUCUUGCUUAGGCCUCACACCAGGAGUAAAGCUUUUCACUUUAUAAUAUCACUCAGAGAACAUUAUAGGCCAAGAUGUUAUGCAUCUAAGAAGUAUACAAUUAGAGAAAGUAACAAAAACAUCUCAGAUUAUGUCCUUUCACAAAUACAUGAUAUACGUUACAUAGGUCAGCAAAUGAAAACAGAAACACAAGUUCAAUUUAUUGUUUCUCUUACAAUUUUCUGAAGCUCAUCAUUUACUCCUUUCAUGUAUCUUUUCCGAGUUCUCUAUUCUUGCAGCAAAUCCAGCUUCUUGUCUAUGUAAGCUCUGGUUUUUUUGAUCAUGUAAAAUGCAAUGUCAAUUAUUUCCUGCAGUGGUGGAGAAUCAUAUGAUAAUAACAUUGCUUCUUCCAAUUGAGGAACAAAUUCUUUCAUUUUUUCAUUGAAUUGUUUUGAGGUGAUUCUCAUUUUGUACUUGGAUUCUUCCUAAAGGAGAAAAAUAAAACUUUUCACAUAUAGCAUUUCUACUCAUAUUAUGGAAUUUAUGAGAAUAAACUGGAGACUGACUGACCCACCUUCAGUCUCUCUUCCUCUUCUAUCGCUGUUUGAAGGGUUUUC